rnacentral:rRNA from 1 species
GGGGGGGGGGGGGGGGGGGGGGGGCGGGGGGGGGUCGGGCGGGGGCGCGGGGGGGCGGGCGCUGUGGGUGGGGGGUGGCGGACGGGUGAGGGAUACAUCGGGAUCUGCCCAGUCGUGGGGGGGGGCGGCGGGGAAAUUAUGCGGAUACCGCGUCCGGCCUUCGGGCGACAGCGGGGGGUCGCAAGACCCCUCGCGCGUGGAUGAGCAGAUGUCGGAUUAGCUAGUUGGCGGGGUAAUGGCCCACCAAGGCGACGAUCCGUAGCUGGUCUGAGAGGAUGAUCAGCCACACUGGAACUGAGACACGGUCCAGACUCCUACGGGAGGCAGCAGUGGGGAAUAUUGGACAAUGGGCGCAAGCCUGAUCCAGCCAUACCGCGUGGGUGAAGAAGGCCUUCGGGUUGUAAAGCCCUUUUGUUGGGAAAGAAAUCUUUCAGGCUAAUACCCUGGGAGGAUGACGGUACCCAAAGAAUAAGCACCGGCUAACUUCGUG